CUACGGGAGGCUGCAGUGGGGAAUAUUGGACAAUGGGCGAAAGCCUGAUCCAGCCAUGCCGCGUGUGUGAAGAAGGCCUUCGGGUUGUAAAGCACUUUCAGUGGGGAAGAAAGCCUUGGGGCUAAUACCCUCGAGGAAGGACAUCACCCACAGAAGAAGCACCGGCUAACUCCGUGCCAGCAGCCGCGGUAAUACGGAGGGUGCGAUCGUUAAUCGGAAUUACUGGGCGUAAAGCGCGCGUAGGCGGUCUGAUAAGCCGGUUGUGAAAGCCCCGGGCUCAACCUGGGAACGGCAUCCGGAACUGUCAGGCUAGAGUGCAGGAGAGGAAGGUAGAAUUCCCGGUGUAGCGGUGAAAUGCGUAGAGAUCGGGAGGAAUACCAGUGGCGAAGGCGGCCUUCUGGACUGACACUGACGCUGAGGUGCGAAAGCGUGGGUAGCAAACAGGAUUAGAUACCCUUUAGUC
rnacentral:rRNA from 1 species